rnacentral:lncRNA from 1 species
GGGCGAGCACCCGGGCCGCCGCGAGCAGCUCUCGGAAUCCUCGCCAGAUGCAACCUGGAGAGAUGGCGGAGACGGCCGCGGCGAACGCCUAGCACCGAGGGAGCGUGGCUGGGGAGAAAGUUAAAAGAGGAAAACAGAAAUUUUUUAAGUGGGGGAGGAUGGCGUGAGCAUGCAAGGCGGGAAUCUUAAAACUCCGAUCCCGAGAGCUGCGGGGCAGCAGGCACACUGGCAAAGCGAGUUCAGGUGGCGGCGAGCGACAGAGGACACCUGCGCGGACGCAGCAGGAUGCCCAGGGCGAGCGACGGGAGCCGGAGGUCCCCGCGGAUCGCACGCCGCCGCCCGGCUGGUGCAAGCUAACGGGAUGGGAGCCUUGGACGUCGGUGGACUUCUCUGGAAAAAUAGGCCCUAGGCAACGGGAAUGACCCCUAGGGGUUGGAAGCAAACAGGUGGCAGAGGCUUGCAGCCUGAAAGGUGAUGCCACUUUCCUGGCUUCCGGCUGUGAAGAGCAGACGCUUUUGGCCUCUUUAGGAAUUUUGCCACCUUUAGCCCGCCCCGAGAUUUGCAGGUGAGCAAGGCAACCGCGGCUUGCAGACACUUUGGAACUGCUACAGUUGCUUGAGAUUUGCUGUUAGUCCUUCGCCUUUCUACUUCGUCCUUGCUACUUUCAUAUCUACCCUGUGGAUGUACACCUUCAGCCUCUAUUCGCCUGACUUUUCUUUUGUAAGUUUAAAACAGCUUUUUACAUUUUAAAAAAAAAAUCAUAAAAUCAAACUUGAAAACUGUUUCAAGCUACGUUUGGAAGAAUGAAGGUUUUUUUUUCGUUUUUUGUUUUUUUUUGUUUUUUGUACCCUCCUUUUCUUGCCUUGCAAGUCCCAGAUGAAUGAACUCAUGUUCCUGAUGAAUAACAAUUGCAGAAUCAUGGAAACGUUAAGCCCACUCUACCAGAAGUUAAAUACUUAGCUGGUACUGACUGAAUACAUUUGGACAGAGUUCUGACCGGUUAUGGUGACAUGUAUUUGCAAGCAAUGGGAAAGGAGACCUUUAGUGUCUUUUCUUCUUGAUGAAUAAAAAGGCUUCAGGAUUUAGAAAACUUUAAAAUCACAAAGAU